rnacentral:rRNA from 1 species
UACGUAGGGGGCAAGCGUUGUCCGGAAUUAUUGGGCGUAAAGAGCGUGUAGGCGGUCCGGUAAGUCGGCUGUGAAAGUCCAGGGCUCAACCCUGGGAUGCCGGUCGAUACUGCCGGACUAGAGUUCGGAAGAGGCGAGUGGAAUUCCCGGUGUAGCGGUGAAAUGCGCAGAUAUCAGGAAGAACACCCGUGGCGAAAGCGGCUCUCUGGAACGGUACUGACGCUGAGACGCGAAAGCGUGGGGAGCGAACAGG